GAACCAUCAGGCACCUCUGUGGCCAGCCUGAGGGACCCAGCAACAGCAGAAAACAUCAUCACUAUCUGCUAAGAGAGACAUUGGACAUGGAUUUUAAAGAAGACAGAUUCUUGUCUUUAUGCUGAUGAGGGCAAUGGUUUUGUCGUAUAAAAUAACACCAAGAGGCCAUCUUGUAAUGGAGGGAGAAAGAAAGGACGUCUGUCCAGUGGCAUUCUAACAGAAAAGUAUCCAGAAGCCACCUGCAUCCCUAUCACACCAAGCUCCACAGGCAGAAGAGAUACCACUUGUGGCUUCUCAAAAAGCUCUCCUGGAUGAGGGCCCUGCACAAACAGCUAUCUGGAGAGAGCCUGACCGGAUGUGAAUGCACGGCAUCACUACAACAGAUAAGAGAGCAGGGCGAGACUCUGCUCAUCCCGACCAGGAAGCAAUACUGACCGAGGGUGUCGCUCAUGUUUCCUCGUUCCUUCUGUAAUUUAUUUGUGUUUGCACUUUUAGCAGCUGGUUUAGUGGCUCUGUGUCAACUUGCAGCUCUUCUGAAUAGACUGUUAUGACUAACUUUGCUCUGUGUCUACUCUGUAAUAAUAGUUCCG
rnacentral:lncRNA from 1 species